rnacentral:rRNA from 1 species
GAAGAAAGGGGGAGGUGUGAUUAAUACAUGCAAGUCAACUGAAGCAGUGGUAGCAAUAUCGCUGUGGAGGUGGCGCACGGGUGAGUAACACGUAGGUAAUCUGCCUUCAGGUCUGGCAUAACUCCGGGAAACCGGGGCUAAUAGCAGAUGAUGCAGCGGCUCGACAUCGAGACAGUUGUUAAAGCUAUGGCGCCUGAAGAUGAGCCUGCGUCUGAUUAGCUAGUUGGCGGGGUAACGGCCCACCAAGGCAACGAUCAGUAGCUGGUCUGAGAGGAUGAUCAGCCACACUGGAACUGAGACACGGUCCAGACUCCUACGGGAGGCAGCAGUAAGGAAUAUUGCUCAAUGGGAGAAAUCCUGAAGCAGCAACGCCGCGUGAGGGACGAAGGGCUUUUGCUUGUAAACCUCUGUAGUGAGAGAAAAAAAUCCCAAUCCUUGGGACAUGAUGGUAGCUCAAAAGUAAGCCCCGGCUAACUACGUG